GUUUAGGGGUAAACCUGAGAAACCCGAAAGGUCGAAGGGAGAAAUUCAUUCGCGUUUCGUGGCAGGCGUUCGACGAUCGAGCGACGAAAAGAAGCGUUUGCGCGUAUAUCUUUUCGCACCCUUUGUCGAUACGAACCAGCAACGAACGCGUGCACUUUUCUCCCGGUAGGACGUUGCGAUCCGUCGGGCGUCGGUCUACGGUUUGCGGUGGAGCCCGUUCGUCGUCGUUUAUUCGACGUAUGAAUGGACCCGCAUAAUCUGGCCGACUCGCUCGACGGUAUACGAAAGGUUUAAGGCCGCUCUCUUUUGGAGCGUUCGACUCGUAACAAGCGCGUCAGCCGUGUCGGAAAUCGGACUUCGUGCCGAUUUCGACCUCUGGCGACUGUUGGUUGCGAAGUUCUCGAACAGACCUUAGGACCGAUCCGCGACGCUAUAGCUUUGGGUACUUUCAGGACCCGUCUUGAAACACGGACCAAGGAGUCUAGCAUGUGCGCGAGUCAUUGGGAAUAUCAUUAAACCUAAAGGCGCAAUGAAAGUGAAGGUCUCCUUAACGGAGAUCGAGGGAAGAUGAGCGGUUCGCCCUUAAAAGCGUCCGUUCCGCAUUCCCGGGGCGUCUCAUUCUCAUCGCGAGAAGAGGCGCACCAAGAGCGUACACGCUGGGACCCGAAAGAUGGUGAACUAUGCCUGGUCAGGACGAAGUCAGGGGAAACCCUGAUGGAGGUCCGUAGCGAUUCUGAGCGUGGAAUCGAUCGUCGGAANNGNGUNUNGGGGNAAAAAANCACU
rnacentral:rRNA from 1 species